rnacentral:rRNA from 1 species
AGAGUUUGAUCCUGGCUCAGGAUGAACGCUGACAGAAUGCUUAACACAUGCAAGUCAACUUGAACUUCGGUUUGGGUGGCGGACGGGUGAGUAACGCGUAAAGAACUUGCCUCACAGUUAGGGACAACAUUUGGAAACGAAUGCUAAUACCUGAUAUUAUGAUUUUAGGGCAUCCUAAGAUUAUGAAAGCUAUAUGCGCUGUGAGAGAGCUUUGCGUCCCAUUAGCUAGUUGGAGAGGUAACGGCUCACCAAGGCGAUGAUGGGUAGCCGGCCUGAGAGGGUGAACGGCCACAAGGGGACUGAGACACGGCCCUUACUCCUACGGGAGGCAGCAGUGGGGAAUAUUGGACAAUGGACCAAAAGUCUGAUCCAGCAAUUCUGUGUGCACGAUGACGUUUUUCGGAAUGUAAAGUGCUUUCAGUUGGGAAGAAAAAAAUGACGGUACCAACAGAAGAAGUGACGGCUAAAUACGUGCCAGCAGCCGCGGUAAUACGUAUGUCACAAGCGUUAUCCGGAUUUAUUGGGCGUAAAGCGCGUCUAGGUGGUUAUGUAAGUCUGAUGUGAAAAUGCAGGGCUCAACUCUGUAUUGCGUUGGAAACUGCAUGACUAGAGUACUGGAGAGGUAAGCGGAACUACAAGUGUAGAGGUGAAAUUCGUAGAUAUUUGUAGGAAUGCCGAUGGGGAAGCCAGCUUACUGGACAGAUACUGACGCUAAAGCGCGAAAGCGUGGGUAGCAAACAGGAUUAGAUACCCUGGUAGUCCACGCCGUAAACGAUGAUUACUAGGUGUUGGGGGUCGAACCUCAGCGCCCAAGCUAACGCGAUAAGUAAUCCGCCUGGGGAGUACGUACGCAAGUAUGAAACUCAAAGGAAUUGACGGGGACCCGCACAAGCGGUGGAGCAUGUGGUUUAA